GAGUUUGAUCGUGGCUCAGAGCGAACGCUGGCGGCAUGCUUAACACAUGCAAGUCGCACGGUCAGCAAUGGCAGUGGCGGACGGGUGAGUAACACGUAGGAAUCUAUCUCUGGGUGGGGGACAACAGUGGGAAACUACUGCUAAUACCGCAUGAUACCUGAGGGUCAAAGGCGUAAGUCGCCUGGAGAGGAGCCUGCGUCUGAUUAACUUGUUGGUGGGGUAAAGGCCUACCAAGGCUACGAUCAGUAGCUGGUCUGAGAGGAUGAUCAGCCACAUUGGGACUGAGACACGGCCCAAACUCCUACGGGAGGCAGCAGUGGGGAAUAUUGGACAAUGGGCGAAAGCCUGAUCCAGCAAUGCCGCGUGUGUGAAGAAGGUCUUCGGAUUGUAAAGCACUUUUGGCAGGGACGAUGAUGACGGUACCUGCAGAAUAAGCCCCGGCUAACUUCGUGCCAGCCGCCGCUGUAAU
rnacentral:rRNA from 1 species